UACGAAGGGGGCUAGCGUUGCUCGGAAUUACUGGGCGUAAAGCGCACGUAGGCGGAUUGUUAAGUCGGGGGUGAAAUCCUGGAGCUCAACUCCAGAACUGCCUUCGAUACUGGCGAUCUAGAGUCCGGGAGAGGUGAGUGGAACUGCGAGUGUAGAGGUGAAAUUCGUAGAUAUUCGCAAGAACACCAGUGGCGAAGGCGGCUCACUGGCCCGGUACUGACGCUGAGGUGCGAAAGCGUGGGGAGCCGAACAGGA
rnacentral:rRNA from 1 species